GAGUAACGCGUGAGUAACCUGCCUUUCAGAGGGGGAUAACGUUCUGAAAAGAACGCUAAUACCGCAUGAGACUACAGAGCUGCAUGGCUCAGUGGUCAAAGGAGCAAUCCGCUGAAAGAUGGACUCGCGUCCGAUUAGAUAGUAGGCGGGGUAACGGCCCACCUAGUCGACGAUCGGUAGCCGGACUGAGAGGUUGAACGGCCACAUUGGGACUGAGACACGGCCCAGACUCCUACGGGAGGCAGCAUG
rnacentral:rRNA from 1 species